UACGUAGGGUGCAAGCGUUGUCCGGAAUUAUUGGGCGUAAAGAGCUCGUAGGCGGUUUGUCGCGUCGGCUGUGAAAACCCGGGGCUCAACCCCGGGCCUGCAGUCGAUACGGGCAAACUAGAGUGCGGUAGGGGAGACUGGAAUUCCUGGUGUAGCGGUGAAAUGCGCAGAUAUCAGGAGGAACACCAGUGGCGAAGGCGGGUCUCUGGGCCGUAACUGACGCUGAGGAGCGAAAGCGUGGGGAGCAAACAGG
rnacentral:rRNA from 1 species